UACGUAGGGUGCAAGCGUUAAUCGGAAUUACUGGGCGUAAAGCGUGCGCAGGCGGUUAUGUAAGACAGGUGUGAAAUCCCCGGGCUUAACCUGGGAACUGCAUUUGUGACUGCAUAGCUAGAGUACGGUAGAGGGGGAUGGAAUUCCGCGUGUAGCAGUGAAAUGCGUAGAUAUGCGGAGGAACACCGAUGGCGAAGGCAAUCCCCUGGACCUGUACUGACGCUCAUGCACGAAAGCGUGGGGGAGCAAACGAGG
rnacentral:rRNA from 1 species